UAGCAACAUCAAUGACUAAGGUUUUGGUCAAUCUCUCAAAAUUGAGUAAAUGUCCAAAAGGGGGGAAUUGUUAAGGCAAACUAAAUAUGUCCUGAGAAAGCCUCCAUCCUUCUAUAUUUGCAUCCUUGUGGAUGAACUGUAACCUAGCUUAAUAGUCAGACAAAACUGAAAACCUAACUUAAUAGUAUGUACCUGUAACAAUGACUGAGUGUUGGCCAAUCCCAGUAGCCAUACUUCAACCACUCAUAGACUGCUGAAUGUUCAAACUGUGUUCAGAAAUGUUGAGCUGUAACCAUUCUUACUGUUUCUGUACCUCACUUCAGAUUCCUGUAUAUCACUUUAUCAUUUUUGCCUAUAAAAUUGUUCUUUCCACAAGAUACCCCUGGAGUCUCUAUGAAUCUGCUGUGAUUCUGGGGGCUGCCCAAUUCAUGAAUCAUUCAUUGCUCAAUUAAACUCCUUUAAAUUUAAUUUGGCUGAAGUUUUUCUUUUAUCCCAGGUCUCACCUCUUUAUAGGAGUGGUAUAAAAAAUUUGUAGUCAUUUUUUAAAAGCACCAUAGCACCCAAUUCAUAGGUUUUUUUUUUUUUAGAGUUUUUUUUUUCUUUUCCUAAUUAUCUUACAAAAAAGAAGAUAUCUGGCACUUUAUAGGAGGAAACCAGAGGCAAGUCCUGUGUUUUACUAUAAAGUCAGGUGCAGGAAUACUAACCAAUUCCUUUAUAUUUCCCAAUAUUACCCAGUUCAUUCGUUGGUACACAGUAGGUUCCAGAAAAAUGUUAAGGGGAAAAAUUGAUUGCUAUGAGAAUUUCACAUGAAUUAUGUUUCUUCCAAGGCUCCUUGCAGUCAAUCAGGAUGGAUGUUGCAUUAGUGUUUUCUCUGAUGUAACAGUCAUUAACUACAGCUCUAUUAGCUGUUCAUUUGUGGCAUGAAAUAGAUCCAAAUACAGAGGACUGUAUUUGAACUGAGCCAUUGUUUCAUGAAUAUUAGAACACAAAUCAAUGCAUAUUGACUGGGCUUGUGUAGAUGAAUGUGAUAGCAUUGCCCUCAACAAAAUAUGGUUCAUUUCUUCAGAACAGUGUGUAAAGCUUAGAAUAAAAAUAAGAAGCACUUAAGUUUUUCAAGAUAUUGAACUCUAGGCACUGAGUUAAUAAGUUCAUUUUUAUAGAUGCUUGAUGCUGUAUGAACAGAUACUAUACUUUCUAAAGCAGCUACUUCUGUGUGGAUGGUGGUGGGUAAGAGGCCAGAGAAGGAUGGUAACUAUAGGUAACACUCUUAUGGCACUUUAACGAGCAUCUAUCCUCUCUAUUGGCACUCAAAAGAAACUUGUGAGGCAGGCACUAUCAUCCCAAAUUUAUAAACAAGCAAAUUGAUACCACAGGUUCUAUGCAGUAUGCCAAAAGUCACUGUCUUGCAGUGGUGGAAUUGGAGAUUUAAAUUCCUCAGAUAUGAUUGCCUCUGGAGAGUCACAUCUGAUCCUCCUCAGACAAAUAAGUACUCUUUCUCUGUGUUCUCGUGAUAUCUUGAAAUAUAUCUAUAUCCACCACUUUGUGUUGUAAUUAUCUUCUUAUGUGUUUAUUUCUCUCCACUUGAGUUCAAGAAAAAAGAAAGGUCCUUGUCUCAUAUAUGAGCAUCCACUAAGGAUUUAACCCAAAGUGACCAGUGAAUGCUUGCAGAAUGAAAGAAUAAAUUAUUGAAGAUCCUUUAACUCUAAAAAUCUCUACCAAUCCAUGAUGCAUUUUAAGAAAAAAGUGUUCUGUUAGAAUAGGGUGAAGAAAAGCUGAUAUUUGUGAGUAGGAUGCAAGGGAACCAUAGACAUAGAGACCUGCAAAUCAUCUGUGGCCUUGUUUUAUCUUAUUCUCUGGAAUAUACUGGGAAUAGUAAGGAGGCAUGUGUGCCUGAGCAGAAUGAUUAAGGGGAAAAUAUUAGGAAUUGAGGUCAAAGAGUUAAUGAGGUGGGGGUAAGAUCAUAUAUAGCCUUGUAGGACAGUUAAGAAAUCCCGAGUGACCUGAUCAGAGCAGACAAAGUGAUCCUUUUAAAACCUACAAGGAAAAUAGAUGGGGGCUGAGCAAGAGUGGAAGUAGAGAGACCUAUCUUGAUUGAUUUACUGAAGUGAUCAAGAUGAGAAGCAUGGUUCCUUGGACGAAAGUGAGAAGUGGUUGGAUUUUGGAUGUAUUUUGAAAGUAGAGCCAAGAGGACCAAUUAGAUAUGGGGUGAGAGCGAGAGAGAGGAGUGAAAGUUGAAACCAGUAUUUUUGGCUUGUGCACUUAAAAGGAAGGAAUUACCAUUAGUUGAGAUGGGAAAAUGUACAUAGAUGAAGCA
ensembl:lncRNA novel transcript